rnacentral:rRNA from 1 species
GACGAACGCUGGCGGCGUGCCUAAUACAUGCAAGUUGAGCGCUGAAGGUUGGUACUUGUACCGACUGGAUGAGCAGCGAACGGGUGAGUAACGCGUGGGGAAUCUGCCUUUGAGCGGGGGACAACAUUUGGAAACGAAUGCUAAUACCGCAUAAAAACUUUAAACACAAGUUUUAAGUUUGAAAGAUGCAAUUGCAUCACUCAAAGAUGAUCCCGUGUUGUAUUAGCUAGUUGGUGAGGUAAAGGCUCACCAAGGCGAUGAUACAUAGCCGACCUGAGAGGGUGAUCGGCCACAUUGGGACUGAGACACGGCCCAAACUCCUACGGGAGGCAGCAGUAGGGAAUCUUCGGCAAUGGACGAAAGUCUGACCGAGCAACGCCGCGUGAGUGAAGAAGGUUUUCGGAUCGUAAAACUCUGUUGGUAGAGAAGAACGUUGGUGAGAGUGGAAAGCUCAUCAAGUGACGGUAACUACCCAGAAAGGGACGGCUAACUACGUG